rnacentral:misc_RNA from 1 species
GUGAAUCAUCAAAUCUUUGAACGCAAAUUGCACUCUCUUCUGAUAGUAUGCCUAUUUGAGGUUCAGCCUAAAAAAAAUCAACAUAGUUGCUGUUACGUGUUAACAUUCGUCGGAAAUUUGGUCAUCUUAAACCUUUUGGUUUAAGCAUCUUAAAAUUUUCUUUACGAUUCCAAGCAAGUUUCUAAGAUUUUAUCUUCUUUUAGGUUUAAGUUAUCGAUCUUUAUUAGACGUUGCCGUUACAUCGGGUCUCGUCCAUAAAUAUUUCGUGA